rnacentral:lncRNA from 12 species
ACAGAGGCAUAGGGAACAGCGUCCGCGACAGCAGGAAACCUGGUCUCCUCCCUCCAUGAGCUGACGGCCUGCUGAGGGAGACUCCGUCUGCCGAGCAAAGACCACUCAGUACCUGUGCCAGACAGGAAUCCCUACAGGAGCAUUCUGGAGCCCAGUGCAGAUCUGACCUGGAAGUCACGCUAUCUGAGGAGUUCUCAAAAGUUAAAGAGAGGGCUCUGCCUUCUGACUCCUACCCACACCUAGCAAUGCAGGGACUUUCUGACCUGGGUGUCCGUGAGGGCCCUGGUACUGUCCCAAAAGAUGCCUUCGUCCUAGCUGUGGCCACCCCCAACUGUAAGUACACCCAAGGGUAAAUCAGGGCCCAGAAACAAAAGCUAUAUCCCAUCAGGGUUUAUCUCCUAGAUUUUAGGAUCCUUGCCAGGACCUCAUGGAUUGCAUUCCCUGGUCAGAAGCAAAUGGGGCCUCAGUCUCUGACCCACAG